rnacentral:rRNA from 1 species
GACGAACGCUGGCGGCGUGCCUAAUACAUGCAAGUCGAGCGCAGGAAGCCGUCUGAACCCUUCGGGGGGACGACGGUGGAAUGAGCGGCGGACGGGUGAGUAACACGUAAAGAACCUGCCCAUAGGUCUGGGAUAACCACGAGAAAUCGGGGCUAAUACCGGAUGUGUCAUCGGACCGCAUGGUCCGCUGAUGAAAGGCGCUUCGGCGUCGCCCAUGGAUGGCUUUGCGGUGCAUUAGCUAGUUGGUGGGGUAACGGCCCACCAAGGCGACGGUGCAUAGCCGACCUGAGAGGGUGAUCGGCCACACUGGGACUGAGACACGGCCCAGACUCCUACGGGAGGCAGCAGUAGGGAAUCUUCCACAAUGGACGAAAGUCUGAUGGAGCAACGCCGCGUGAACGAUGAAGGCUUUCGGGUCGUAAAGUUCUGUUGUAAGGGAAGAACAAGUGCCGCAGGCAAUGGCGGCACCUUGACGGUACCUUGCGAGAAAGCCACGGCUAACUACGUGCCAGCAGCCGCGGUAA